UACGUAGGCAGCGAGCGUUGUUCGGAGUUACUGGGCGUAAAGAGUGCGUAGGCGGUUUUCUAAGUUUGGUGUGAAAUCUCCCGGCUCAACUGGGAGGGUGCGCCGAAGACUGGAAGGCUUGAGUAUGGGAGAGGUAAGCGGAAUUCCUGGUGUAGCGGUGAAAUGCGCAGAUAUCAGGAGGAACACCGGUGGCGAAGGCGGAUCUCUGGGGCCUUACCUGACGCUGAGGCGCGAAAGCUAGGGGAGCGAACAGG
rnacentral:rRNA from 1 species